rnacentral:rRNA from 1 species
UACGUAGGUGGCAAGCGUUGUCCGGAUUUACUGGGCGUAAAGGGCGUGCAGGCGGUCUGUUAAGUCUAGGGUGAAAGCUCCCGGCUCAACUGGGAGAGGUCCUUGGAUACUGGCGGACUUGAGGGAUGCAGAGGAAAGUGGAAUUCCCGGUGUAGUGGUGAUAUGCGUAGAUAUCGGGAGGAACACCAGUGGCGAAGGCGGCUUUCUGGGCCUUACCUGACGCUGAGACGCGAAAGCGUGGGGAGCGAACCGG